AUCCCACAAAGAUUUUAUAGAGUUAGAUUCUAUAAUCUAUAAUCUUUGCAUUUUACUUAGUCAAUUUGAAUCUUUUCAUCCACGCAAGUUGCUGUAUGCAGGAAGCAUCCCAUGCAUGAAAGGGCCACCGAAGGAACCACAUGCGAUGGAGGGCGAGCAGUUUGAAACUGAUACAUCGAAUACUGAUGGAAGCAUUCCGUUCAUGGAGGGGUCACAUUAAAUGGAAAGCAAGCAGUUUGAAAGUGUUACGACAAAUACUGAUGAUAUUCUUUCGAGUGUACCUGAAAG